CUUCAAUUAUUGCUAGUUCUGUUUCAAAUUCAAAAAUUUUCUUUAGCAUUUUAUAUUUAAUCUGCAGCAGUGCAAUCGAAUUUUUAAAUCAGCUGCUUCCAUAGCUUGGGCAAGAGAGACUGGGACUUUUUUUUUGGAAAAAAAGCUUUUUCAAGUUACUUUUAAUGGUUAAGAAUUUAUCAAGCAUGUCCUGUACAGACACAUAAUUAAAAAAUAAUAAAAAAAAUUCAAGGGUCAGAUUUUGCAGUUAAAUGACCCAGGUCACUGCAGACUGCUGAAAAACAAGAACAAAACCCCUCGUCGGAUAAAUAGAUCAACAGAUUGAUGGCUCAACUAUGUUGCAAUGGAAUCCGAGGUAUUGUGGAAGAAAAACAACCAGUUAAUACUCAAACAGAGCUAUAUCACAUCAAUCUGAGCAGCUCCUUCCAAGGCAGCUCUAUCUUUGGAAUUUGGAGAAGAGAAACAAGAACAAUCGACUGAUCAUCUUAGCCGUCAAUAACUAUCACAAGAGGAUGUCAACACUUCAGCUGCAAAGAGGCUUAAUCUCUGGGCAGAACCAAAGUCCUUCAUCUCGCUUCUCACUACAGUUUAACACUGUUUUUUAGACAUAGCAUUUCAGAUAAACAAGUUUCAUACCACUUUUCUGAAUCCUGUUUUAUUAAUGUUGCAAUCUGCCAAUUACCUUUGUAGCUUUCUCCAACUGUCUGAUGCUUCUGGCAGGCACUGUCAGGCAAAAGUGGAAGCAGAGGCAGAAGCAGGGUAAGCACUGUUUGCUAUGGACCUGCUUUGCCACAAACAUCCUGUAAGAAGUUAGCCACCUUCAAAGACUGGUUGUUGACCUGAAGGCAGGUGGAACAAACCAAGGAAACGUUGCAGGCUUAAGACACCAGGCCACUACCCAGUGCUGCCCUUCCACCAGAAUGCCAUUCAUACAAAAGGCAUGGCACAGCACUCAGUAUUCAAAUCUGCUCUCAGGUCUGCAGUUUCAAGGCUACAUGAUCACCCAACAGAAUCUUCAAGAAACAAAAGGCUUGAAUUCCUGUAAAUAAGCCAACAAAAGAUUAAGCCUUCCCUCUUCCCAUACACAGGAACCCUCAAUGUUAAAGAAUCAUUAAAUGUUAAUGUCAAAGCUUCCAUUUUGAAAUACAGAUUUGCUGGUAUGGAAAACACUUCACAGAUUUGGAGAUAUAUCCUCAAGGUAAGCAACAAAGCUUGCUUUAUCUUUGAUUAUAAUUUGAUUUUAUAAAAAUAAAACCUGAAAUAAAUCAACA
rnacentral:lncRNA from 1 species